AUUGGUAGAAUCUGGAUAUGGCUUAUUCUUCAGUACCAAGCAGGUUCCAUGGCUAUCUCACCAUUCGUUCUCCACUGCCCAAAUCAUAUCUACAAAUGCAGCUAUAAUGUAUUCUCUUGAUAAAAUCUAACAACCCAUGGAGAUCAUUUUAUAUAAUGCUAAAUAUAACUUAAUUUUGUAAUUAAAUUUUAAAUAUAAAAAUUUAGACCAUUGAUUCAAGUGAUACAUGGUUUAUGAGAUUUUUUCGGUUAGAUUUUAUCAGUUUUUUAGUCUCAUAUGAAAUUUUUUUUUCUCUUUUUCAAAAUAGUUUAAAUGGUAGUUUCUUUAAAAAACAAUAUUGAUAAUGAUGUUCUUAGUAUAUCUUGUUAUUUGUUUCUCUCUAAUUGACUAAUAUAAUCUUAGAUUUUGGCUAAAUUAAUAAUGAAUGAUAUAUCUUAGUUAAAAGUUUGGCCAUCAAUCUAUGUUUUAAAAUUUUCUGUUGUAUCUCCGUUAAAAUAUGAAUUCAAAAUUAUGGUGAUUAGAUUCAUUACAUAAGACAGUAUAUUAUAGAGUAAGUAUGUGAGCUGACAAAGUAUGGGUGAGCAAUAAUUACGGAUUCGAUUUGAGUUUGGAUUUAGUUUAUUUGGUAUAAGAAAACUUUAAUCAAAGUAAAUCCAAAUUAGUUUGGUUUGGUAUAAUUUUAGUUCGGUUUGGUUUAUGUUCGAUUUAGUUUUAGUUCAGUUUGAUUUGUGUUUAUUUCGAUUUAAUUUUUUUUUUUGUGUCUAUUCAUUUCAGUCGAGUUGAUUUUUUAGUUGGGUUACAGUUUAAUUACAAAAUUAUGAUUGAUAAGAAGAUAAACAAAUUACCAUUUGAAAAAUCAUUAUUUUCUUUAUAUUUAAAUAUAAAUCCAAAUAUCACAAUAAAUUAUAAGAUAUAAUCUAAUAAUUUUAUGUUAUUAUAUUCAAAUCUUAUAUAAAUACCAUAGGUAAUUUUCUGUUUUUGAUGUUAAUGCAGGAGAUUCAUACUCUUUUAUUUUAUUUUAGUUGUGUUGAUUCUAUUCAUUUAGAAGUAAAAAUGUAUAAAUCAUAUUUAGUUGUUUAGUUUAAAUAUAUUAAAUCUUAAUAUUAUUACUGUCAUAGUUAAUUAGCCUAACUAAAAACUCAUGUUUAAAAUCAUUUGGUUUGGUUAAAACUGAACCAUUUGGAUUGAUAAAAUCUUGAACCAAAUGGUUUAAACAUAUAAUUUGGUUUGAUAUGGGUCGUGAAUGAAUCGGUUUGAUUUGGUAUGGUUUAGAUUUUUUUUUCCCACCACUAUAACAAAGAAAUUUUCCAUUUCUCAGCGUCAUUAUCUAUUUUGUAUGUAUUUUUAUUUAUUUCGAAAUAAGGGUAUUUUUCAAAGAGCGAUUUGCAUCAAAAAUACAGCAUAACUUAAUAAUUUGCAGCUAUGCAAAAAGUUAAUAAAACAUGAUUCAGCCCAGCCCGUUUAGAGUCAAAAUGACAUUUUUAACCCUAUCAAUCUAGAAAGAGAGAGAGAAACAACUAUCAAUAUUUUUCGUUUAUUACUCUACCUUUUAAUUUUAAUUUUAUGUGUCAAGAGAGAGAGAAGGAGAUGCCGGAGAAAUUAAAAAAAACAAACUUUAGUUAAGAUCCUUAAGAUAGAUCCAACUAAAAAAAUCUGUUUGGAGCUUUGAUUCGAGUUAAAAAAACUAAAACUAAAAUUAAGAGUGGAGAGGCGAUGAACGGAAGACAUAAAUCUGGAAACACGGUGGUGCACCACCACCAGAGAAAUCUUUCUGAUAACCUUCUCGACAUGUGUUCCUCCUGUGGCAGAUGGCUCUAAUCCACUGGUUUUCCACACUUUCAGCCAUCCCCAUUUGGUGUGUGUACGCAUGAUUACGGAUACUAUGCUGCUGGUGGCCAACUCUGCAAGGUUCUGGAAACCGGAGUUAGCGGUGGAGACUAUAAACCGGAGUAAGUGGCGGCGAUGGUUCUUAUGAAGGGGUAAUUGGACUACUGUAACCGGAGGCAAACAGUGACCAAAGAGUCAACUAAGGCGAGCCAGAGCCACCACCACAGGACUGAAUCAAGAAGAAGAAGAAUGCAUGUCUUCAACCUAGGUUCGUUGCUAGGCCAUAAAUUAGUUUAGCCAGCUAAUAGAUAUAAGUUUUUGUGUUCAUCUUUUUUUUUGGAUAAUGUUAGAUUUACUCACAUAGGUACAAUUCAUAUAGUUGAUAUUUAUGUUAGCCGGUUAUAAUGUGACUUGUUUAGAUCCUUUGUAAAUUAGAUGGUUAUAUUCCGAUUUAUCUGGAUAUUUUACAUGUUAGUUGAUAUUUAGAUUUAAAAUUACUAGAAUCAUUAAUGGUUAUAUUAAUUAGUAAAUGGUUAUAUUCCGAU